rnacentral:lncRNA from 1 species
AGGGAACGGGCAAUGAGUCCAUGUAUUUGUGUUUUCAGGGAGGUGUUAGGGAAAGGUGGAGGAAGGCGAAGAGAAGGCUAAGGAAGCCUAAGAACUGCGGCUGCAGAGUCACGGAAACACUUCGCUCCGCUCCAGGAUCACUGGCACAGGCCUGUGCCAGGGCGAACUCCGGGCAAGACCCGUGACCCCACCCCAGAAAACUCCCGACUCCCGGGCUGGAGAAGGUAGCCAAGAUCAUUCUCAGUUGCCAUAUGGCAAAGACACAGGAAGCUGCCCUGUGUAGAGACCCACAUGGCAAGGAACUGAGACAUCUUGCCAACAACCACCAGAGUCUGAGGCCUGCUGCCAUCACCAUGUGAGUGAGACAUCUUAGAAGUGGAUCCUUCAGCCUAAGUCAAGCCUUCAGAUGAUUGCAUCUUGACUGCAGCCUCAUCAAAGACCUUGAACCAGAACCACCCAACUCAAUUACUCUCAAAUGCUUAACCCAUAGAAACUAUAGCUAUUAUGGCUUGCUAUGGCAGUCAGCCCCCAAGAUGGACCCCAUUGAUUCUGGACUCCUGGUGCCAAAACCAUUGUACCCAGAUCAACUGCAAACAAGAACAGAGUUUUAAUGGAAAUUUUAAACAAGUAAGAUGAAAAUCCUGAAGCAUUUCUUUCAAGAAUUGUAACAGGAGAUGAAACAUGGCUUUACCAGUAUAAUCCUGAAGACAAAGUACAAUCAGAGCAAUGGCUACCAAGAGGUGGAAGUGGUCCAGUCAAAGCAAAAGCAGACCUGCCAAGAGCAAAGGUCGUGGGAAUAGUUUUUUGGGAUACUUAUUUUGCUUGUUGACUUUCUGAAGAGCCAAAGAACAAUAAUAUCUGCUUGUUUCAAGAGUGUUUUGAGAAAGUUUGCUAAAGCUUUAGCAGAAAAAUUCCUGGAAAAGCUUCACCAGACAGUCUUUUUCUACCGCAACAAUACUCCCACUCAUUCUUCUCAUCAAACAAGGGCAAUUUUACAAGACUUUCAAUGAGAAAUCAUUAGGCAUCGACCUUACAGUCCUAAUUUGGCUCUUUCUAACUUCUUUUUGUUUCCUAAUCUUAAAAAAUCUGCAAAGGGCUCCCAUUUUUCGUCAUUUAAUCAUGUAAAAAAGACAUGGUUAAAUUUCCAUGAAUCUCAAUUUUUUUAGGGAUGGAUUAAAUGACUGGUGUCAUCACUUACAACCAUGGUUGACCUCGAUGGAGCUUAUGUUGAGAAAUAAAGUUUAUAUUCUUUAUCUUUUAAUUCAAUUUUUCCAUGAACAUUUUGAAGUGCCCUCAUAUUAUAAAUGAUAUUUCAUUGUUAGUGGUUCAUUAAUAGGGUAUUUAAAUACAAUUCUUUUUUAAUAUUAGUCCUGUACACAGAGAUCAUGUUUAAAAACCUAUUAGUUCUAGUAGUAUUUUAUAGAUUUCUUUUGAUUUUCUAUGUAUACAAUCAUGUUUCUCCAAAUAAAGAGUUUUAUUUUUUUCCUUCCA